GGGCACGUAGCUCAGUUGGUCAGAGCUUCCGGCCCAUAACCGGGCGGUCCCCAGCUCAAGUCUGGGCGUGCCCA
rnacentral:tRNA from 1 species